rnacentral:lncRNA from 1 species
AGAAAAAUUAAGGAAAUAUUAGUGUUAGAAGUGAAAAAACUUUAGACAAGGAAAAACAAUUCAAAAAGUUAAUUGAAGAAAAGAAAUAGAGGCAAAAAGAGUUAAGAACAUAUAAAAUAAUAUACAUUUAAAAAAAUAUGAAUCUAUAUAUAGCAUGAAAAGAAAAGCAUAUUAUAAUCUCACUUCGAUAUAUGAGAAAAUCACGACUCAAAGUUAUUACAAUUGUAAAAUAUAAAUGUUUAUAAUAAAAAACAGAUAUCAAAAUCUUUAUGUUUUUAUUUGAAAAAAAUCAUAACUUCAACUUAUAUAACAUACACCUAAAGAUGACAAGAUCAAAGACCAUUAACGAGAAUUGUGAAAUACGCUUUACUUUGAUUUUCGCCUCAUCAUUUUGACAACUCCUCUUAAACAGUCUUCAUCACACCUGUAUGGAAUAGAGGAGUGUGAAUUCACAGUCUUCUGUUUGUUCUUUAGGAAAUGCUACAUAUUCUACACAAAAUAAAAUAAAAUAGAGGAUUGUAAUUUACUUAUAUACAUAGUUAAAUUUUGUUAGUGAGGAGGUUGAUUUACCUGGUCAUGAGUGCUGAUGAGUAAAAUAGGGAAAGAGAGAGAUGGAGAAAACCAAGAAGAUGGUGUAGGAGGAGAAGUUGGAAGGCCAUUGAUCAUAGACGUGAUACAUCUCUUUAAUUAGAAUGAUAAUUUAUAUAAUUCCUCCUUUUUUGCAUUAAAAUUUUUGAAAACAUAUAUCUUCUCUUGCUGAAAAGUCACACCGUUUACAACACUAUUUAUGUAUUUGAGUAGUUCAGGACCGUUUAACAAUCGAAAAGUCAAUAUCAAAAGCCCUAAAGUCCUCCCUGCGUGGAAAGCCAACUCCAAAUCUGUGCAAAAGAUUAAUUAUCCUCUAAGAGGAUUCCCUUUUCAUGUGGUAAUAAACUAUGGAAUGUUGCACAAAUCGAAGGGGAAUGAUCAGAGGGAUACAAUAAAGGGAACUGGCAAUUUACUAUAAUUAUACAACGAAUAUUUGAAGUAUACAGAAUAUCUUUGUGUAUUUACCUUAAAUAAAAAUAAAGAAUAGAGUUUAAACCAUACCUUAGUAUAAAUUUUCUUUACCAUUCUAUAGCAUUUGACAUAGAGAUAGCUCAAAUUUAUAAGUAAAAUAUAAAGUU